GUUUGAAUGAUGACUCUCAAAAAUGUCGGAUACCCCUUCACUCUUUUU
rnacentral:snoRNA from 1 species